CAUCCUAGUGGUUGUGAACUGAUAUCUCAUUGUGGUUUUGACUUGCAUUUCCUUAAUGGCUAAUGAUGUUGUGUGCCCUUUCAUUCUUUUAUUGGUAUAUCUUCUCUGGAGAAGAUAUCUAUUCAAGAGUUUUGCCCAUUUUUUAUUUGGGUUGACAUCUAGCCUACUUUACAAUGAGGGAAUAAAUUUCACCUUGUAAAAGCCAUUCACUUGAGGUAUUUCUGUUAUAGCAGCACUACAUAACUAAGACAGAAUUUGGUACUGGGAGUGAGGUGCUGCUCUAACAGAUAGCUAAAAUAUGGAAGUGGUUUUGAAACUGUGAAUAGAUAGAGGACUCAGAAGUGAGGAGAACUGUUAACACUGGAGAUAGUGCAGAUGGUGAGAAGCAGCAGCAGAGAACUGGCAGCUGCAGAACCAGGAGACCAGCACCAGAUAGCACUGGAGCUGACCCAUGGAGUUAGAGAGAUGAGUACCUUCCUGCUGAAGCUUACUGGUGGAGUUUGGUGCCUCCAGGCACUGAUCAGUGGAGCUACAGAACUUUGGAAUACUUGCCCCAGCAGAGCAGAGGCCCAAGGGGCCAAGAGACCAAGGAACCAGGAAGCUGAGCUGCCUCAGUCUCAAAGGGUAUGGCCACAACCUCUGGGGUUUCAAAGGGUGGAGCCACGGCCUCUGGUGUUUCUAAGGGUGGAGUUGCCACUGAGAUGGACUAAGAGAAUGAUGUUCCUAAAGCGGAGGGAAUGCAGUUGCUAACCCAGUGGGCCUGGAAGGCAGAGCUGAAGCCCAGAGCCAAGGGACCUCCAAUCAGAAUCCAGAAAGUGUGGACAAUACCUAGAGUCUGAAGGGCUGGGCCAUUGUGUAAAUGGUCUUAGAGAACAGAGGAUUAUUUUCAAGCCUUGAGGGCUAACGUAAUGUGUUCUGCUAACUUGGUGCCUGUUAUCCCUUCUUUCCCUCCAGUUUCUCCCAUUUGUAUUGGAAAUGUCUAGCUUGUGCCUGUUCUGCCAUUGUACCUUUGGAAGAAGAUAACUUGUAUAUUAGAUUUCACCGAUGAAGAGGAACUUUUGGAUUUUGAACUUGGAGUUAAGAUUUUUGCUAUGAUAUGAUGGAGUGAAUAUGUUUUACAUGUGGCAAGGACAUGAAUUUGGGGGGGUCAAAGGAUGGAAUGUCAUAGAUUGAAUUGUGUCUCCCAAAAAUAUGUGUAUCAAUUUGGCUAGGCCAUGAUUCCCAGUAUUGUGUGACUGUCCACCAUUUUGUCAUCUGAUGCAAUUUUCCUAUGUGUUGUAAAUUCUACCUCUAUGAUGUUAAUGAGGUGGGAUAGGCGGCAGUUAUGUUAAUGAGGCAGGACUCAAUCUGCAAGAUUGGAUUGUGUCUUCAGCCAAUCUCUUUUGAGAUAUAAAAGAGAGAAGCAAGCAGAGAGUCAGGGGGACCUCAUACCACCAAGAAAACAGUGCCGGGAGCAGAGCACAUCCUUUGGACCCGGGGUUCCUUCACGGAGAAGCUCCUAGUCAGGAGAAGAUUGAUGAGAAGAACCUUCCUUCAGAGCUGACAGAGAAAGCCUUCCCCUGGAGCUGAUGCCCUGAAUUUGGACUUCUAGCCUAUUUUACUGUGAGGAAAUAAAUUUCUCUUUGCUGAGGCCAUCCACUUAUAGUAUUUCUGUUAUAGCAGCACUAGAUAACUAAGCAGGUUGUUUGUCUUUUUGUUGUUGAGAGGUACCUGUAAAUUUUUGCUUGGGAAAAAAAGGUUUUGGAAACCAUUGAGUGGAAUGAUUGCUGAAAUGCUUUCCAUUCCUGGUUGUCUGUAGUUUUAAAUGCUAAGAAAAAGACCAAUGUUUACCUUCUUCCAACUUUAUUUCACAACAUUAUUGAGCACCUGGAGCAAGGUAAGCGCUACAACCAGUGCUCUACAUAUGUUACCUUAUGUAAAUGGUGGGAUAGAAGGAGGGAAUGGGGCCCAAGGGAGGGGGUUUGUAAAGAUGCAAGGCAAGUGCUAUUGUCCCCAAAUUACGGAUGAGCAAACUGAGGCUCAGGAAGGGAUAAAACUUGCCCAUAGUCACAUAUCUAUGUACUGGCAGAGCCAGGAUGCCAAUCUGAGUUUUUAAAUUUAGAGAAAAGUGCAGGACUCGGGAAAGUGGGCAAGUAGAUUAUUUUGUUUAUUUUUCAUUCAUCUUUGCCUCGCUCCUUUUUCCUUUUGACAAAACAAAUUUGUUUUCAGAUUUUAUUCGUGGAGGAGUUUUUUUUCCUUCCCAGUUGUUCUCUGUUUAAUUGGAAUGGCUCUCUGAGUCAGAAGCAACUGACCUACUUUUGACUAAUAAAGACCCCCGCCCCCAUACACACACAUUCUUAUGAAUCCCAUUCCUUACCCAGCCACAUCUCUGGACUGGUUUAGAAGCAACAACUCCUGGCUGUGGACAACAAAAGUCCUCAAAUGUAUGAAUCCCUUUCUCCUAUGAGACCCAGCUCCCUAGGUGUCUCAUAAUCAUGGAGCCCAUGGGGAGGCCAAGAAGGGUCAGGUAUGUAAGGAGUCAAUGCAGGUAGCAAUCUCCAUGGGCAGUUCUGACCAUGGUCCAUGGUGGCUGUGGGCAAUUAAGCUGAGGUUCAUGGGGUCAUGUCACUUGGGAUCCAAAGGAAAAUUCAAGCAGAAAAAUGACUGGGCCCACCCAGGCCAACAGCUGAGCUUCCAAGCCCGGUCCAUACCCCAGCAAAUGGCCUUCCCUUUCUUCCCCACUCUCUGCCCAUUCCCUCCAUCCCCAAGUCCCCUUAAGUACCAAUAAUGGAAGUGCUUACUAGGCCCCACAACAAUUCACCCUUAUCUUUUAUUUAUAGCUGACAAAGCUCCAAGCAGGAAAAAUAUAAUCACACUUUAAAUAAUGGAAGUUGUAGGUAUUAGAGCUACACGGGCAGUUACCGGAGUUGCAGCAAUGUCUCCCUGCAGACCUGACAGGGCGCAUGCCGACUGCAUUUUUAAUUUUUAAAACAUAUUUCUUCCCAAAUUAUUCCAUGUUACAGAGAAGCCACAUUUAUGGGGGUGAUAAAUUACUGUAAUAAAGUGCCUCUUCCUCAAAUAUAUAGGACAAAGCCACGAUGAGCACAACCCAGCACAGGUGGCCCCAAGAGAGCACAGAGAAGUCCCACUGCCUCGCUCCUCACUUUAAUUAUUUGGCUGAUGUGUCCUACAUUUUUAAUACAGUCACAAGUUUUCUUUAAGCAAGGAGUUAGAAGUGGCCACUAAUUUUGUAUUUGUAGGUGCCAGUGUGUGCAAGGGCAUAUGCAUGUGAGUGCCUGUGUGUGUACCCAUGGGUGGUGAGGCAAGAUGCAUGUGUGCAAGCAGCCAUGUAGUGUGUCUGUUUGUGAAUAAGCUUGCACACUGAAUGUCUGUUCCCAUGUACCAGCAUGUGUGCACACGCGACAGCUUGUGCAUGCACAGAUCCAUGCGUGUGUUGCACACACUUCCUGAGUGUGUCGGGCAUGCAUGAAUGUGCGCUUUUAUGUGGAUCCAUGUGCAUUGGCUAAGCAUGCAUUUUUGUGUGGACCUCUUUGUGUGCAUACAUGGGCAUGCAUGGAUCUGUGCAUGUCAGAAGCACACUGGUUGGAAGUGUAUGUUCAGGCAUGUUUUUUUAUGCUGAUCUGUCUUCUCUUCCCAGACCUCAGGUGCAUUUGAAUUCUUCCUUCUGCAAUGAACCAGCUCUCCUUCCACCUUCCCUCCUUCCUCGAACAGUAAAACACAGUGACUGCCUAGGUUCAAAUCUCAGCUCCGCCUCUUAUUAGCAAGGCUCUCUGUACCUCAGUUUCCCCAUCUGUAAAAUAGGACUCAUAAUAAGAGUACCUCAUAGAGGUGCUGGGAAGAUUAAUGAGUUUAAUGUGUGUAAAGCGCCUCACACGUAGUAAGUACAAGUGUUAACUAUUGUUCUUCCUUCCUUCCUUCCUGCCAGAGGACAAGGCACAGUCUGCUGUAAUCUGCUUGGAAAGUUACAAGCAGGAGAGAGCCAAGGGUGGGGAAACAACUGAUGAGGAAGUAGCUUAGCUCAGCUCCUAUCCUCCCCCUGUCCCAGCUCAUCUGGUGGGGGACAGUGGCAGAAGGAGGGGAGAGGACCCAGUUCUGCAAUGGCCUCCUUGAGGUCCACAUCCAGCUACACAAGUUUGUGGGCUCUCUAGGGCUAGCCCGUGCCCACUUCAUCCCUGCUUGUGUGGUCCCCAGCACAGAGCCCGUCAAAGUGGACACUACAGAAUGUUUGCUGUGUGGAUGAACACUUGGACAGAUGAACAGGAGGGGCGAUAGGGACCCAUUGCCAUUGAGUUGAUUCUGACUCAAAGCGACCCUAUUGGACAGGGUAGAACUACCCCAUAGGGUUUCCAAGGAGCGGUUGGUGGCCAUAGCUUGCCGUAGCUCUUAACCACUGUGCCACCAGGGCAAUGGGUGAGGGUGGCUUAUCUGGGAGGCGAUGACCAGAGCCAGUGGGAGUGAAGGAGUUGGGAAAAUGUGACAGGGAGGGGGAAAAAAAGCCAAUGAGGGCUGUGCAAAUGAGCUGGCUGCUCUGGGGCACCUGGGACUCAGUCCCACAUGAGACCCUCUGAGUAGCUGUGUGCAAGGUGACUCAGAGCUGUCCCACCAAGCCUUAGGCAAGCUGGUGUGUCGAUUCACCACCCACUAUCCAGCAUUGGGUGAGGGCUUCCCCUGGGGACAUUUAAAGACCUGGCAUUCCUGGGCUGCCCUCUGUGAAGUCUGAGAGAGUGCUGUGGUACCAGACAGAGCCCCAGGCAGAGAAAUGGAGACACGGGUGCUAGGGGUGGGAAGAUGCGCAUUGCGUGGAGACAGUCCACUAUAGUCUACGGGCUGCAGAGGAGGGCCAGGGGAUAUAGGCAGUGCAUUGACAGCAUCUGCUCCAGGGAAGUGUUGGGCAGAUGGAUUCAGGGAUGGAUGUGAGGGUGGAUGGAGACGUAGACACAUGGUGGUCAAUGAGCUUUCUCUGGCUGGGGGGAAGGAGCUGGUCCAGUGGGGUGGCCAUGAGGCCCACAUCUUCCCCCGUAGAUCUGGCAAAGGCCCCAAGUCAUCAAAGACAGAAGGGCAAGAGACAGCCAAGGGCCAUUCUAGGACCUUCCCAAGGGCUCCCUACCCUAAGAACUGAUGUCUGAGACACAGCACUGUCCUUGCCCAGCCCAGAAGUAGGCCUGCACCUCACAGAUAACGCAUCUCCUCCAGGACUGAAGCUGCAUCUUAGGAAUUGGAACCCAAGAGGGAAAACCAGGGGAGAUACUUCUUCAGCCUCAUCUGCACUACUCCCACCACACACCCCAGGUUUAACAAGCUCCUGCUCCUUUCCGUUCCCCACAUGGACUCCCUGUCCUCAUGAGCUUGCAUAUGCUGUUCCCUCUGCCUGGAAAGCCCUUCCUUAGUAUCAACCUGGAAAAUUCCAACCCAUCCUUUAGGGCUCUGCUCAAAUGCCACCUCCUGCACAAGCCUCUGCUCAGAAGGAAUUCCUUCUUCCCCUCUGCUCCUGGGGACUUGCAUCUGGUGUUAUAAUAAUGUAUGUGCUGAUGUCUCUGUUCCCCUUGGGCUCCUCAAGGACAAAGACCAUGUCAAUGUCUCCACUGUUUCCCCAAUGUCCAACGCAGAGCCUGGAAUAGAUUCAGUGCUUUAGUCCUCAUCUGAAACAUGGGGGUGAUCAUAGCACCUGCCUCAUCAUGGUGUUGUGAGGGUUAAAUGAGUUAAUAUGUCUACUUUGCUGUACUUAGAACUGUGCCUGGCACUGGGUAAGUGUUAGUCAAGUGUUAUCCAUUGUUAUUAUCAAUGUGGUUCAGAAUAAAAGCUUGGAGAACUAGUGCAAAAGGAGAAACAGAAAAUGAAACUACCAUUUAUUGAGCGUCUCCUUUGUGCCAGCUGUUGUAUCACCCCCAUUUUACAGGUGAGGAUACUGAGGCUCAGAAAAAGUGACACAGAUAGAAAGGGGCAGAGCUGGGACUUGAAUCCAGGUUGUUUGACCAGAGUGCUGGUAUUCUCCCCUGCACCCCUCUGCAGCUGGCUCUGUCUCUUUCUAUCACUGUGUGUCUCUUUUCCCUCCUCGCUAAUACUCCCCACACCCAUCCAUCCUGCCUUGUGACCUUGAUGAGGCUAUGAAAGGCUGCCAGGGGUAGUAAGUAAAACAUAACAUUUAUGAUUAACAAAAUGGGGUUCAAAUCCUGGCCAUCUACUUGCCUGCUAUGUGAUUGCCUUGGGCCUGUGGCAUCUACUCCCUGAGCCUCAGUUUCUCCACUUGUGUCCUGAAGGAGUUUGGGGACCCUCUCCAAAGGCAGAUUUGUCAUGAUGCUGAAAAUUCUUAAGCUUCAGGGCACCUAACUUUCACUGGCCCCUUCCAAAUAAGAAUUCACUUUCAUAAGUCAAUUGGUCUUUGUGAUGUAUUUUUUUAAAGAUGGUCCUCCAAGAUACAAGCUUCAGGCCUCCCAAACCUCAGAUUCUUUUUGAGGUCCUUCCAACCAGGACAGCAUGGCCAGGAGGCCGGGGAAGGGAGGCAACCAACCCUCAGCCCCACACACACACUCUGCACAGAGGUCAGUUCCCAUCGCAAAAGUGGAGAUACAGAGGCCUGCAUGGGUGAGGGAACUUGUAGAUCACACAGCAAGUUAGCAUCACAGCUCUGCUUCGAACCCAUGUCUUCCUACUCCAAGACCAGUGCUCUUCGUUCUGGAGCUAGAGAAGGGGGUGCAGAGGGCUGGCUUGGGGGUGGGACCUGCUCCUCACCCAUGAGGGCUUUGGGCUAUGGUUCAGAGAGUGACUCAGUGCUUCUUAAAGGGGCCAGGAGCAGGGGCAGCUGUGGGUGGGGGUGUCCAGGGACUGCUGCUAAAAUAAGUAGUGGCUUCCUCUGAAACGCCUUCUGUGGUCUGCGCAGGGGAAGGAAGUGGAGGCCCAGAAGCAGGAGGGGGCAGAAGGGUGAGAGGCCUGAAACUGUUGCCAGCAACUCAGAGACCAAGCUCGGGGCAUCCCCCACCCACUAGAUACAACAGCUGGCCCCAGCCAGGCUGCAGCCUUGGGGCCUACAACCAGGAGGGUCCAGGGAGCUUCGGCCCAGCCCUAAUAUCACAGCCCUGAGGCUACAGAGAAUCCUUCUAGAUGGUCCUUGGCCUGGCUCCUUCUUCCCUCCGAAACCACUCCCCACUUUCUGACCAUGUUGGGCCUUUUCAUGUAUCUGUGCCUUGGCAUGUGCCAUUCUCUUGGCCUGAAAUGUCCUUCCCACCUUUGACUUUAAUAUCCAAUGCUAAUGUCGCUUAUCCAGGGAAGCCUUCUCUGACCACCCCUAAACACACACACAGACACACACACGGGCAGGAUCAGGUGCCCACAGACUCUCAUCAGAAGUAGUGUUUAUCAUGACGGCUAACGUUUAUUGGAUGAUUGGUGUUUACUACGUGCGAAUACUGCUCUGCAUGGAUGAUCUCAUUUGAUUCUUACAAAAACAUGCUGUGGGUUCUAUCAAUAGCUUUGUUUUAUAGAAGAGUAAACCAAGGUGCAGAGAAGACAAACAACUCUCCCUGAGGUCACACAGCCAGAAAAUGGCUGAACCGGGAGUGUAACUCAGGUCUGACUCCACAGCCUGGCCAUUUAAUGAGGUGCCAUCCUCAUAGACUAGGUGUGAACGGUGCCACGGGAGCCGUGCAGAGGAGGCUGCACCAUGAUGCUGAAUGAGCCUAACCGUCAGGACUCCUCCCUUGACUGUGCCCAUGGAGUGGCUGGGAGCUAUAGAGUGCUCUAAGUGGGGAGAGGAAACCAGGUUGUAAUGAGGAAGCAUUUCUUGUGUAAACGUUUCUGGUCAACGGUGUAAAGAGACCUCAGAAGUAUCUCCAAAGCUUCAGUGCUGUGUUGUAAAUACUUUCAAGUCUAAUUUUGUAUUUUAUUUCUAAAAGAAGGACCCCUAAAUUUGGAAAGUUUCAGGCCCCACAAACCCUAAACCUGCUCUGGCGAUGCCCUAUGACUUAACCACUGCCCUGCCUGCCUCAUGCCCAACCCUCUCCAUGUCCUGUUUUCACUCUAUUGGGGUUUUCUGUUUAUGAAUCUGCCCUCCCUUCCGCACCUUAUUCCAUCCACCGCUCACAUCGACAGUGAGCUUCUCACGGACAGAAUGCAAGCCUUGGUUUCUUGAUACUCUUGAGCCUGCUGGUACAUAGAAGGGCAGGAUGGAUUUGUUGAAUGAGAGAAUGAAUGAAUAAAUGCAUGAAUGAAUGAAAGAAGAUGGAUCCCUUUAUUGUCAUCAGUAAGUGUGAGAGAUAGAAUUUCAGCUUAAAAAUCCUAAGUCAGUCUUCCUGUGUGUGAACCCUAUGUAGGGAAGAAUUCAGCUCAGGCCAUGUCUGGCAAGGAGGCCAGGAGCCAAGGCCACCCCUCAUGGCCUUUCAAGCCCCCCACGGAGAGAGUUUUCUUUCUGUAGCUUCAGGAGGUCAAAAGUUCCCUCUAGAGAAGGAGGAAGUGAAAGUCCUGCUAUGGGUGAGUCAUCAGAGGGUCCCCUGGGAAGAAGCUGGCACAGGAGCAGCAUGGAGGGAGAAGCCUGGCUCAGAAGAGAUGCCAGAAUAAGAAGGAAGACCUGGGAGGUGGCCUGAAUGGAGAGGGCUGAAACCAUUUCCUGGCUGCUCCCCAAACUCCGGAGUCUUCAGCUUGGAGAAGGCAAUCCGUGGGAGACCAUCUCUGUCCUCAUGUCUCUGAAAGGCUGUUGAGGGGGUAGAAAUCAGAUGUGGUCUGUGCAGCAGCGAGGGCUUCUGGAGUCAGCUAGGAAACGUCAAGGAGGCCAAUUUCCAGCAGUCAGAGCAGGACUCUGAUGCUAUGGCAGUCGCCUGGUAAUAAUGAUGGUCAAUAGCAAGUGAGGCAGCACUGUUCAGUGCUCAGGACUCUGGAUUUGGACUUCCUGACUUGGAAUCCCAGCUCUGCUCCACUUUAGCUGCAUGACCUCAGUACAACUUCAUAAUGUGCCAAAGGAUGUUCCUAGAUGGAUGUCUCCAAGAAAAGGAUAAACUCUUCUGGUAGAGUGUUCGAGAUGAAUCAGGGGAAACCAGGCUGAUGGAUGAUCUACCAUCUUAUGAUACUGUGGUCUCAACCAGAAGCUUCAGGGUGUACCAUGGAAAGAAAGCAUGAAGGCUCAUGCCCUGAUGUUUAGAUGUUUCCAUUUAGAAGUGGCAUAUGUUGUUUUUAUUCAUGCUUUGUUGGCUAAAGCAAAUCAUGUGGCCACGUCCAACUUCAAGGGGGCAGGGAAGUAUAAUCAUGCCAUGUAUUCAAAAUAAGAGGAAAAUUGAAAUUUUGGUGAGUAUUCUUUUUUUUUUAUUAUUGUUCUUUAGAUGAAGGUUUACAGAACAAACUAGUUUCUCAUCAAACAAUCAGUACACACAUUGUUCUAUGACAUUGGUUAACAACCCCACAACAUGACAACACUCCCCUCUCUCAACCCUGGGUUCUCCAUUUCCAACUUUUCCGUUCCCUACUGCCUUCCAGUCCCUGCCCCAGGGCUGGUGCAUCCCUUCAGUCUUGCUUUGUUCCAUGGGCCGCUCAAUCUUUGGCUGAAGGGUGACUCUCAGGAGUGACCUCAUUACUGAGCUGAAAGGGUGUCUGGGGGCUUUACUCUCAGGGUUUCUCAGACUCUGUCAGGCCAGCAAGUCUGUUCUUUCCUUUUGAGUUAAACUUUUGUUCUACAUUCCUCUCCAGCUCUGUCUGGGACCUCUAUUGUGGUCCCUGUCAGAGCAGUCAGUAGUGGUAGCUGGGCACCAUCUCACUGUUCUGGACUCAGUCUGGUGGAGGCUGUGGUAGAUGUGGUCCAUUAGUCCUUUGGACUAAGCUUUCCAUUGUAUGGUGAGCAUUCUUAAUAUCUGCUACUUUCUCCAUUCCAUUUUCCUAUAUCCUUUGCUCCCAGGUAUAAGACUUAUCUGGAAGUUGUUGUGUUUUCUUCUCAUCUGUGUUUAAAAAUUUUUUUAAUACAUCUGUAUGCAUCAAUAAAUAGUAUAUGGAAAGAAAUCACAAAGGAAAUUAGAAAGUAGUUUGAACUGAAUAAAAAUGAAAAUACUACAUACAAAAAUUUCUGUGAUGCAGCUAAAGCAAUUUAUAGAGGAAAACGUGUUGCCUCAGCUAGCUACAUUCAAAAAGAAUAAAGUCCCCAAAUCAAUUAUCUAAGCUUCAACCUUAAGAAACUAGACAAACCCAAAACACCACAAGAGGAGUUAAUUAAACUAAAAGUACAUUGUAUUUCUAUAUAGUAGUAAUAAACAAUUUGAAAUUGAAAUUAAAAUCAAUGUCAUUUAUAAAAAUGAAAAAUAUAUGGAUAAAUCUAACAAAAUAUGAUUUAUACAUUGAAAACUACAAAUUGUUGCCAAGAGAAAUUAAAGAAGACCUAAUAAAUGGAGAGAUAUACUGUGUUGAUGAAUCAGGAGACUCAGUAUUUUAAGAUGUUAAUUUUUCCCCAGUUAAUCUAUAGAUUCAACACGAUACCAACAAAAUCUCAGCCGGCUUCUUUGUAGAUACUGACAAGCUGAUUCUAAAUUAUAAAUGGAAAUGUAAAGGACCUAGAAUAGCCAAAACAAUUUUGAAAAAGAAGGAAAUUGGCAGACUUAAACUACCUUAUUUCAAGACUUCCUAUAAAACUACAGUAAGCUAGACAAUGUGGUAGUGGCAUAAUAUUGGGCCUGUGGAUCAAUGGAACAGAACAGAGAGUCCGUAAAUAGACCCAUAAUCUAUGGUCAAAUGAUUUUUGACAAAGGGGCUGAAGUAAUUUAGUGGAGAAACAAUAGUCUUUUCAACAAAUAGGGCUGAAACAAUUGGACAUUCAUACGCCAAAAAAAAAAAACCUAAAGCCUCAACCUUUACUUCUCAUAACAUAUAAAAAUUAAUUUGAAAUAGAUCAUAGACUUAAAUGUAAAAUGUCAAACUAUAAAACUUCUAGAAGAUCAUAUGGGAGAAUAUCUUUCUGAUCUCGAUAGGUAAUGAUUUCUUGGACAGGACAGAGAUAGCACAAACAGUAAAAUAAAAGACAAAGAUUGAUGAAUUGGACUUCUUCAAAAUGUAAAGAUUUACUCUUUGAAAGUCACUGUUAAGAAAAGGAAAAGACAAGCCAAAGACUGAGAAAAAAUUCUGAUAAAGAACUGGUAUCCCAAAUUUGUUAAAAACUCUUAUAGCUCAGUACAAAGGCCAACAAUCCAGUUAUAAAACGGACAACAGAUUUGAACAGCUUCCCUAAAGAAGACAUAUGAAUGGCACAUAAGUGCAUAAAGAGGUGCUCAAGAUCCAAGAUCGUUAGUCACUAGGGAAAUGUAAAUUAAACAAUGAGUAACCACUAUACACCGAUAGAAUGCUAAAAAUUUUUAAAAUGGCACUACCAAGUGCUGGUGAAGAGUUGGAGCAAACUCACAUACAUGACUGGUGAGAUUUCAAAAUUAUAUAACUAUAUUGGAAAAUAGUUCACAAGUUUCUUAUUAAGUUAAACGUAUGACUAAUAAUUCCAUCUCCAGGUAUUUAUUCAAGAGAAUAAACACUAAUGUUCAUGCAAAGACUUGUAUAUGAAUGCUCAGAGCAGCUUUAUUCCUAAUAGUAAAAAAGUGGAAACAACCCAAAUGUACAUCAAGUGGUGAACAGAUAAAUUUUGGUACAUCCCUACAAUGGAAUACUUCUGACCAACAAAGUACAAAGAACUACUGAAAUGUGGAACAAUGUGGAUGAAUCUCAAAAGCCUUCUGCUAAUUAAAAAAGUCAGACGCAAAAGACGUCAUGCUGUAUGAUUCCAUUUAUAUAGCAUUCUGGAAAAGGCAAAACUGUAAGGGCCGAAACCAGAUCAGUAGUGGCCAGGGCUGGGAAUUGGGGGAGCGCUGCAUACAAGGGGAUGCCAAAGAACUUUUGGAGAGAUGGCAAUGCUCUAUAACUUCAUUGUGGCGGUAGCUACACGAGUGUAUUCAACAUUCAAAACUCAUCAAACUCUACGUUCAGAAAGGAUUAAAUUUAUCACACACAAACUAUAUCUCGAUAAACUGAAUUUUUAAAAAAGAAUAUAUGGAAUUCUUUUUAACAAGGUUAACUUCUCAAUUUUGAUAAUCAUACUGUAACUAUGUAAGAGAAUGUACUUGUUUAGGGGUAAAAACACACUGAGAUGAGUAAAGGAGAACUAUGUCUGCAAUUUUCAAAUGGCUCAGAACAAAAUAAUAUUUACUUACGUGUUUGUAAACACAUAGGAGCCCUGGUGGCACAGUGGUUAAAGUGCUCAGCUGCCAACCAAAAGGUUGAUGGUUCGAACCUGCCAGAGGCUCCUUGGGAGAAAGAAGUGGCAGUCUGCUUCCCUAAAGAUUUACAACCUUAGAAAUCCUUUGGGGCAGUUUUAAUCUGUCCUAUAGGGUUGUUAUGAGUUGGAAUCAACUUGACAGCAGUGGAUUUUGGUUAUGUACACACAUACACACACAUAUAUGUAUAUAUACACAUAUGUAUACACACACACAUAGAGAGAAACAGAGAAAGAAACAAGAGAGAGAAAUAAUGAUAAAGCAAAUGUGGUAAAAUGUUAACAUUUGGGAAAUUAGUGUGAAGGUGUAUAGAAAUUUUUUAUACUAUUUUUGCAACUUUUCUGUAAGUCUGAAAAUGUUUCAAAAUAAAAAGUCAAAAAUUGCAUAUGAUUAUUUUUACAUAAUAAAAAUUUUGCGUAUGUAGAUUUUG